CUGGUUGAUCCUGCCGGACCCGACUGCUAUCGGAGUGAGACUAAGCCAUGCGAGUCGUGCGCUCCGGGCUGGCGGAGCGCGGCAUACGGCUCAGUAACACGUGGUCAACCUACCCUGCGGACGGCUAUAACCCCGGGAAACUGGGGCUAAUAUCCGAUAGGGGAUAGGUGCUGGAAGGCCCUGUCCUCGAAAGGCCUAACCACCCAUGCCGUGGUUAGGCGCCGCAGGAUGGGACUGCGCCCUAUCAGGUAGACGGUGGGGUAACGGCCCACCGUGCCUGUAACGGGUGCGGGCCCUGGGAGGGGGAGCCCGGAGAUGGGCACUGAGACAAGGGCCCAGGCCCUACGGGGUGCAGCAGGCGCGAAAACUCCGCUAUGCGCGAAAGCGCGACGGGGUCACUCCGAGUGCCGCCCGCUGAGGGCGGCUUUUGCCCAGUCCAAAAGGCUGGGCGAAUAAGGGGAGGGCAAGUUUGGUGUCAGCCGCCGCGGUAAUACCAACUCCCCGAGUGGUCGGGACGAUUAUUGGGCUUAAAGCGUCCGUAGCCGGCCCGGUGUGUCUCUGGUCAAAUCCGGCGUCUCAAGCGCCGGACCGCCGGAGAUACUACUGGGCUAGGGAGCGGGAGAGGCGGGCGGUAUUCCCUGGGUAGGGGUAAAAUCCUAAGAUCCAGGGAGGACCAUCGGUGGCGAAGGCGGCCCGCUAGAACGCGUCCGACGGUGAGGGACGAAAGCUGGGGGAGCGAUCCGGAUUAGAUACCCGGGUAGUCCCAGCCGUAAACGAUGCAGGCUAGGUGUGUGGACGCCUUAGGGGCGUCCAUGUGCCGAAGGGAAACCGUUAAGCCUGCCGCCUGGGGAGUACGGCCGCAAGGCUGAAACCCUAGGAGGCCCUUAACUGAUAUAAUGAGGAAGGGUUCUCCUAGGGCAGCACACUUAAAGGAAUUGGCGGGGGAGCACCACAAGGGGUGGAGCCUGCGGCUCAAUUGGAGUCAACGCCGG
rnacentral:rRNA from 1 species